AUCUUAUCAAGAGCAGGUGGAGGGACAAGCCCAAUGAAGCCCGGCAACCGACCCCCGUAUAUGGGGGCACGGUGCUAAUUCUUGCAGCGAAAGCUGGCAGAUAAGAG
rnacentral:ncRNA from 1 species